CAGGUCCUCUUCAGUCCAGCUGCUGUCCAUGCAGCCUUUCUGAGCUCUGAUUGGCUUACUGUCAGGGCUGACCAAUCACAGUGCUCUGUUUUUGAACGCUGUGCAUGUGCACACAGUGUGCACGUGCUGCCCAGUGUGGUGGUAACAGAACACUGACCCACACCCCUCGGGUAUAAAGCAGAACUUCCUCAUUGCCCUGCAGAACCAUCCAGACUCUAACAAACUGUUCAGAUUGGUCUGAUUAAUCUUCCUCCUGCUGUUACCUUCCACUUUAAGAAAACAUCUUCAUCACUCUCCGUCCAGUCGGUAUCAUGGUUCUGUCCUCAGCCAACAAGCCCAGGAUGUUCCAGCUUCUCUUCUCUGACCCAACCCGAACUUUCUACAGCAGUGGGGACAAACUGUCUGGUUGGGUCCAGCUGGAGGCGGGCUCCCCUUGCAGGCUAACUGGCCUCAGGGUCACUGCCGCUGGGUGUGCUCGCGUAGAGAGCCGGAGUCGCAGACAGGAGGUGGAGUACCUGAAGUAUGAGGAAGAGGUUCGGCUGGAAGAGGUUCUGAGCACAGGUGAUGUGGUUGCUGCAGCUGGACCACUGGGUCUGGUCCAUCAGGACCUGCUGGGUCCACUGAAAUAUACUAAACCAGGCCCUGAUGGCUGCUUCCUGCUUCCUGCUGGGAAAUCCUUCAGCUUCCAGUUCGGCUUCGAGCUUCCUCCUUCAGGGCGCCUAGUAUCAUCCUUCAAAGGGAAGUUUGGGUCUGUCCGGUAUUACGUGAGGGCGGAGCUGCAGCGACCUUACCAGCAUGCUUUGCAGUGCGAGCGGGAGUUUGAAGUAGAAGAGCCGCUGGAUGUAAACCAACCCGACCUGCUGGCUCCCGCUGCAGCCUCCAAACAGAAGAAGGUCACCUGCAUGUUCAUCCCUGACGGCCAAGUAUCCAUCACAGCUCAGAUCGACAGGAAGGGGUUCUGCGAGGGUGAAGACAUCAACAUCAAUGCUAAGUUCGAGAACUCCUGCUCCCGAAUUGUGGUGCCAAAGGCCGCCAUCAUCGCCAAACACUCGUACAUCAUCAACAGCCACACCAAGGUUCUGCGUCAGAAACUGACGGCGGUUCGAGGAAACCCUAUCAUCUCGGGCAUGUGUGACAUGUGGCAAGGGAGGACCAUCAGAGUCCCUAAACUGAGGCCCACACUGCUCGGCUGUGACAUCAUCAAGGUGGACUACACCCUCAUGAUCUACCUGCACAUUCCUGGCAGUGAGAAGCUGAUCCUGGAACUGCCUCUGGUCAUUGGAACUACCCAGUUCAGUGGGGUCGGCAGCAGAACCAGCAGCAUGAGCAGCCAGGCCUCUAGCAGCUGGGCCUCCAUCCCCUCACCCCCCCCCAGCUACAGCAACAUCCACAGGGACUUGAGGGUGAAUGGCCUCUGCACGCCGCUGCUCCAUGAUUACGACGGUGCUGAGGAUGAUGAUGAUGAUGACGGAGGGCUCUUUAUGAGAGUUCCUGAAGGGUGCUACCCUCCUCCCCCUGCCUACAGCAAGGUUGAUCAAGAACCCAUUGACCCUCGACAGGCUGUUCCAGUCUUUUGAGCAAAGAAAGAAGGAGGUCACUGUCCCUUUAAGACUGUAGAAGAUCCCUUCCUGCUGCCAUGAGGGGGCAGACAAUGGGUGUGGAGAAAAGGAAUCUGAGCCAGAGAUUUCCCCAGAUGAGACGGUGUCUCUAAUCACGUCGAGUAAAGCGGUUUCCCCCUUGCGAGUAAGACGACAACGUAAGAAGCACCAGCAUCACACGCCUUCCUGUCUGCCAGUCUGGGUAGGAGGAGCUACCCCCCAGCUGCUACUGAGAGCUGCGCCACGGUUCUUUGAUCACCUUCGCUACUCAACUCAUUGAGGUUGGACCUCCUGUUCUUCAGAACAGUUCAUGUAAGAGGUGGUGUCUGGGCAGAGACAAUUAGUUUAAGAUGAACUAAUCUAGACCUUAUUUAUUUUAUGGUGGUUUGCUUUGUUUUUGGUGGUGGCUACCUGGUGAAGCUAAUAGGAACUCUAAGCCUUGAGGCUAGUCGAUUUGUCUGUGUUUUGUUGUAAAGUUACGCCAAACUUUAUUUUAAUGAGUGGUUUAAACAUAGAUCUGCCAUAACGCACCUGCUGGUGUUCAUAUACAUCUUAAUAUUAGUAUAAAUGGUAUUUAAACCCAUAUGAAACUAAAAGGGUUGGCAAAUAAACUACUUUCCUUUGAUAGCCAAAACCGCUAAUGCUAGUGCCAUCAAAGUCAAAUAUUUACAUCUGACUCUUGAUGGUCCACAGACGUUCCUCUCCGCCAUUUUAGUAGUCCAUUACUCCAAGUGAUGGUUAGUUAAAAUCAUCAUUUAUUUUGAAAAAUUAUAUUUUUCAAAAUGUUAUUUUACUAAAAUAUUGUUUUAUGUAUGCUUCUGAUUUUGCAUUGUGACUUUAUUGUUUUGAAGACGUACCAACUGUUGUCAUUGAUUAGUUUUAAAACUAAUUUCUUGGUUUCUUGGUUUUUUAAACAUAAAAAUCCACAUUUAACUGUCAUAUCACUGAAUGAUUACAGUGGUUCCAUUGUUUGUAUUAGUUUUCUUUAUUCUUUGAUUCUGCUUGGUAGUUUUAGUUGAAUUGUACUAGCUUUGUUCAUUUAAAUAUUUUUACUUGGAGUUGAAUUGUUUUUGUUAAUAAAGUCCUACAUUUUAAGGA